GAACCUGAAACUGAGCACAAAGAGAGCUCAGCCUCAGAUGCACCCCCUGUAUUGAGUCCUCAUGCACCCAGCUCGGAUUUUCACUCCUCAUCUUUUCAAGUCCAAGAUCAUUCACAAAGCAUUGUUUCAUCUGUACCUUCUGAGGCCAAUAUAGGGCAUUGAUGGAGAAAGAAGUUUUAUGAGCUCAACCCAAGAUUAAAUUGUUAAUACAACUAGUAUGAAAUUCGGAUCUUCCAAUAACAAGGUUCAUGAAAUGAUUUUACAACUGAAACCACCACAACUCCUCUUUCUCUUCCUCCUCCUCCUCCUUUCUCUCUUCUCAACACAGCCAUCGUUCACAACAUUUGAGCAGAACUUGAUGUUACAUUUACAUGUCUUCUUGCAACUCACUCAACUCCAAAGAACUUCCUUUCAAUUACCAUAUCAUUUACUGCCAAAUUUUGUGUUUUUUUUUUCUUUAUUAAAAAAACUGUUCAUUUUUCCACAUUCACUAUUAUUACCUCAAACAGACACUUAAUUACUCUCGUUAUCUUUUCUUCUCAACUCUAUUUUACAGUAGUUUUUUCCCUAAUUAAUACAUUUAUCUAUCAUUGCUUUUCCGUCUCUAUUUUUUGCUGUACUGUUUUGAAAAUAAAUCCAGACUUAGUCACAUUACAUGUAUACAAGGCGGCAAUUCUUUGUGAACUGGUUUGAUGUCUGAUAUCAUAGAAAGAUCUUAUACAAUUUUAAAAAUGGUUUGACUGGCCAAAUCUCCAUGCCACCUUACUUCAUUAUUGCACUCAGUUAACUGGAAAAUUUUUAACAUUUUCCUUUCAUUCCUUCAUAUUGUAUUUCAGUCCAAUAUUAUAAUUUCAAAACAAUUUCAUUAAACUGAAACAGCUUUGUACAUAAGUAGCAUUAAGCACGAUAAACUGUUAUUUAUCUCUUA